rnacentral:tRNA from 1 species
GCAGACGUAUCGAAGUGGCCAUAACGAGCCUGACUCGAAAUCAGGUAGCCUUUCGGGGCACGCGGGUUCGAAUCCCGCCGUCUGCG